UCUCCUGUGAACUAGUCAAUCAUACCGAUCGAAAACUACGUUAAAUCUUGUGUUAUCUUUUUUUUUUUUUAUUCAAUCUCAGUUUCUAACAUGAUAUCAGAGUCAUCAAUGGAACAAUCCUAUUCCGAUUCUGUUACAGUUCUUUCAAUGGUCGUACUAUGCUCUAUGGUAAUUCUCCUUCACUACUUUAAUUCAAGGAAAAGGGCUUAUGUCCGAUCUAGACGACAGUCAG
rnacentral:lncRNA from 1 species